ensembl:lncRNA
CACAGGUGAUUGUGAGUUGUUUUUUUUCCCCAGGUACUAAGGAUUGAACUCAGGACCUUGUGCUCUUGAGGCAGGUGCAGCGCUACUGAGCUAAAUCCCCGCCCCAUGACCGUGAGGUUUUACAAGAUAACGUGAAUGGAGAACACAAGGGGAUGUCUGAAAGAGCCAGCCCUCUCCCUGCCCUGACUCUCCACUCACCAUUCAAAAACAGAACAGGCUACCCUGUGUCCAUUAUUUAAGGAGGAUGCUGCUUGUGUCAGGAGUUGGCUUUCCUGAGGGGAGGGGCUGCUGAGUUGCACAACUUUGGGAAAGGUGUGGUCUGGAGAGUAUGGAAGGCCCCAGGGCAUUCUGUUAACCCUGCCUCCAGGCUCCUGAGAGGUAAGCCACCCUUGGAGGUACCUGAGCUAGGUGAAAAAGUUGGCAGAUCUAUACAACAUUCUCCUUUAAAUACUGAACGAUAAAAGUAAACAUUCGCAUUAUGGUUAAAUGCAUAAUCUGUGUUUAAAGACUGCAGUCAAACUAAAGAGAGCCAGACAUGAUGACAGAGUGGUGGAUGCCAGCUACUUAGAAGGCUGAGAUAGGAGAACUCUGUAUAUGCUAGGCAGGUACUCUACCACCCAGCUACAUCUCCAGACCUUAAGAAAGGUGUCACUAAGUUGCCUAGGUGGCCCUCUUAACACAUGAUCCUCCUGGUUCGGCCUCCAGAGAAGCUAGGAUUACAGCUAUGCACAACCUCACCUAGCUCACUUGAUAGCUUUUAUUUCUUUAAACUUUCAUAUCAUGUUAAGACUUUCAGUUCCAGGAUUGUAAGACUAUUUUUUCAUCUAGGUGGAAUUUAUUUAAUGAAUGGUGUUCCAGCUUCAUUUUCUCCCAAUGGUUGAUCUAUGAUUAGUCCCCUUCUUCUUAUUGACUUCCACUUUUGCUCUACCAAUUUGAAAUAUCACCUUUAUCAUGCACUAGAAUUCCUUAUGCAGCUGGCUCUUUAUCUGUAAUGUUUGGUUUAACGUCUGUCUGUUCUUUAUCAAAAAUACAGUUUUAGUUGUUGUGGCUACCUAGUUUGUUUUAGUAUCUGGUAGAACAAACCCAAGCUCAUUAAUCUUCAUACUUUUCUUGGCAAUAGAGACGAAUGCUUAAAUUCACGGACUUUGGGGUCAGAUAGUCUGAGCUUAAUCCCAGAUUGACCAUUUACUAGCUGUGGGUCCUUAAGCAAGUUAGUUUUUCUCUUGGUUCCUCAUCUGUAUAAUGUUACUAAUAGUAUUUCCUCCACAGUGUUUUUGUAAAGAUGAGAUGAUGCAUAGCAAAUUCUCAGAUGUGGCCUGGCACAUGGUAAACUGUCAGUAAAUUUUAGUUUGUUUGUAAUGAUAAAGAUGCGCCUAUUUUUCCAAUUGAAUUUUAGGAAAAUUUUGGCAAUGAAAUAUACUGAGAUUUUCAUCUUUAGAAGACAUUUACCUGGGAGGGAAAUUUGGGGAUAAUUAAUAUCCACAUUAUAGGGUCUUUCCAAUCUAAGGGAAGCUCCCAUCUUCAUUGGUCUAAGGUCUUAUGCUCCUUGGUAGAGUUUUGUGGUUUUGUUUGUAUAAGACGC